CCCUUGUCCUUAGUUACCAGCACGUCAUGGUGGGCACUCUAAGGAGACUGCCGGUGACAAACCGGAGGAAGGUGGGGAUGACGUCAAGUCAUCAUGGCCCUUACGGCCUGGGCUACACACGUGCUACAAUGGUCGGUACAGAGGGUUGCCAAGCCGCGAGGUGGAGCUAAUCCCAUAAAACCGAUCGUAGUCCGGAUCGCAGUCUGCAACUCGACUGCAUGAAGUCGGAAUCGCUAGUAAUCGCGAAUCAGAAUGUCGCGGUGAAUACGUUCCCGGGCCUU
rnacentral:rRNA from 1 species